GACGAACGCUGGCGGCGUGCUUAACACAUGCAAGUCGAACGAUGAAGCCGGAGCUUGCUCUGGUGAAUUAGUGGCGAACGGGUGAGUAACACGUGAGUAACCUGCCCUUGACUCUGGGAUAACUGCGGGAAACUGUAGCUAAUACCGGAUACGACCCUCGGAGGCAUCUCCUGGGGGUGGACAUAAUGUCGGUCAAGGAUGGACUCGCGGCCCAGCAGCUAGUUGGGGAGGUAAAGGCUCACCAAGGCGACGACGGGUAGCCGGCCUGAGAGGGUGACCGGCCACACUGGGACUGAGACACGGCCCAGACUCCUACGGGAGGCAGCAGUGGGGAAUAUUGCACAAUGGGCGCAAGCCUGAUGCAGCAACGCCGCGUGAGGGAUGACGGCCUUCGGGUUGUAAACCUCUUUUAGCAGGGAAGAAGCGAAAGUGACGGUACCUGCAGAAAAAGCACCGGCUAACUACGUGCCAGCAGCCGCAGUAA
rnacentral:rRNA from 1 species